GCGCACGCUGGCGGCAGGCCUCACCCAUGCCAUUCGAACGAACCUUUCGGGGUUAGUGGCGGACGGGUGAGUAACACGUGGGAACGUGCCUUUAGGUUCGGAAUAACUCAGGGAAACUUGUGCUAAUACCGAAUGUGCCCUUCGGGGGAAAGAUUUAUCGCCUUUAGAGCGGCCCGCGUCUGAUUAGCUAGUUGGUUGAGGUAAUGGCUCACCAAGGCGACGAUCAGUAGCUGGUCUGAGAGGAUGAUCAGCCACAUUGGGACUGAGACACGGCCCAAACUCCUACGGGAGGCAGCAGUGGGGAAUCUUGCGCAAUGGGCGAAAGCCUGACGCAGCCAUGCCGCGUGAAUGAUGAAGGUCUUAGGAUUGUAAAAUUCUUUCACCGGGGACGAUAAUGACGGUACCCGGAGAAGAAGCCCCGGCUAACUUCGUG
rnacentral:rRNA from 1 species